rnacentral:lncRNA from 1 species
GAGGAUGGAGGAGAACAAGGUAGGUGAAGACCUAAGAUUUCGAAAGAAGUUUAGGAGGAUGGAUGAGAACAAUAUAGAUCAUGACCUAGGGUUUCAAAUGGAGAAUGGAGGAGAAACAAGGAAGGAUGGAGGAGUAGAUAUGAAUCGAGAUACAAGAUCUAGGAUUUCAAAGUAACGAAAGAUCAUGGGAGCAUAACAAUAUACUCAUGCCUCA